GGCUACACACGUGCUACAAUGGGUAGUACAGAGAGUCGCAAAGCCGCGAGGUGGAGCUAAUCUCAGAAAACUAUUCUUAGUUCGGAUUGUACUCUGCAACUCGAGUACAUGAAGUUGGAAUCGCUAGUAAUCGCGAAUCAGCAAUGUCGCGGUGAAUACGUUCUCGGGUCUUGUACACACCGCCCGUCACACCACGAGAGUUGGUUGCACCUGAAGUAGCAGGCCUAACCGUAAGGAGGGAUGCUCCGAGGGUGUGAUUAGCGAUUGGCUUGAAGUCGUAACAAGGUAUCCGUACGGGAACGU
rnacentral:rRNA from 1 species